rnacentral:rRNA from 1 species
GACGAACGCUGGCGGCGUGCUUAACACAUGCAAGUCGAGCGGUAAGGCCCUUUCGGGGGUACACGAGCGGCGAACGGGUGAGUAACACGUGGGUGACCUGCCUCUAGCUCUGGGAUAAGCCUGGGAAGCUGGGUCUAAUACCGGAUAUGACCUCGCGGUGCAUGCUGCGGGGUGGAAAGCCUUGUGCGGCUAGGGAUGGGCCCGCGGCCUAUCAGCUUGUUGGUGGGGUGAUGGCCUACCAAGGCGACGACGGGUAGCCGGCCUGAGAGGGCGACCGGCCACACUGGGACUGAGACACGGCCCAGACUCCUACGGGAGGCAGCAGUGGGGAAUCUUGCGCAAUGGGCGAAAGCCUGACGCAGCGACGCCGCGUGAGGGAUGACGGCCU